UACGUAGGGACCGAGCGUUGUCCGGAAUCAUUGGGCGUAAAGCGCACGUAGGCGGCUUGCCAAGUCGGACGUGAAAUCCCUCAGCUCAACUGAGGACGUGCAUCCGAAACUGGCGAGCUUGAGUACUGAAGAGGAUCGCGGAAUUCCCGGUGUAGAGGUGAAAUUCGUAGAUAUCGGGAGGAACACCAGUGGCGAAGGCGGCGAUCUGGGCAGAUACUGACGCUGAGGUGCGAAAGCGUGGGGAGCAAACAGG
rnacentral:rRNA from 1 species